ensembl:lncRNA
AUGGCCGGGCGGCGCCGCGGGCUGGAACGGACGGGCUCCUUCUUUGUCAUCCGUGUGCGCGGCGCCCGGCUUCGUCACGCGUGUGGGGGUACGGUCCCCUUAGUCACAUGGGUGUGCCCGUGCAGACGCCCGGCUUUGUCACACAUGUACAUCCCUUUGUCAUGCGUGUGCGUGGUGCCCUCUUUGUCACGGGUGUAUUGCCUGCUCCAUCCUGUAUGUGUGUGUAUCCUCCAUCCUAUGUGUGUGUAUCCUCAAUCCUCCAUGUGUGUGUAUCCUCCAUGUGUGUGUAUCCUCAAUCCUAUAUAUGUGUGUAUAUCCUCCAUCCUCCAUGUGUGUGUAUCCUCCAUGUGUGUGUAUCCUCCAUGUGUGUGUAUCCUCAAUCCUCCGUGUGUGUAUAUCCUUCAUCCUAUAUAUGUGUGUAUAUCCUCCAUCCUCCAUGUCUGUGCAUCCUCCAUCCUCCAUGUGUGUAUAUCCUCCAUCCUAUGUAUGUGUGUAUAUCCUCCAUCCUAUGUGUGUGUAUCCUCCAUCCUCCAUGUGUGUAUAUCCUCCAUCCUAUAUGAGUGUGUAUCCUCCACCCUAUGUGUGUGUGUGUAUCCUCCACACUAUAUAUGUGCGUAUCCUCCAUCCUACAUAUAUUUCUGUAUGUCCUCCACCCUGUAUGUGCGUGUGACCCCGUGAUCCCAGCAAAGUGCAUGUCAAAAACCCAAACCCAAGCCUUCUGGGACACCACAGAUGUAGAGAUCAGCAUUCCUGCCGGGGGAAUCGUAGGGAUCCACAAAUGGCAAACCACAGAAAUCCCCGUGUUCAUUCUUAGGCGUGGAUGUAAUCCCUAAGAAAACAGGGAUUCGCUUCUUUUUGUGCUGGAGAAUCUAAAAAUCAGACUGGCUCCUGGUGCUGCUUUCCUGCUGAAAAUUUGGGAUUGUGGGGUUAACGUGCUGUUCCGUCGCCUGUACAUUUAAAUGCGUUCAACCUAUUUGAUAAAUAACUGCUCCCAAGCUUUGGUGAUAUUAAAUCCAGCUAAAUAAGAUUCCCCAUGGAAUAUCAAGGCUCUAAUUGAAUCUCAGGGGUUCUGGGCCCGUUCGCCAAACAGCCUUUGAGUUGUUUUUGUUCCUGACGUCAGCCCAAGGCUUGAUUGAAUUAUGGCCUUGGACUGCGGGAGCACCUGCCAGGGCCACUGCGCUGAAGAGUCCGGCAGCGUUUCCAGGCCAAAGCUCGGCGGGAAGUUUGUGGCUGGAAUACAAACUUCAGCCAGGGAGCAGAACUGGCAAACCCAAAUCGAUUCCCUCCGCUCUCCUCUUCCCUCACCGCUGCUCCCACGCCGCUCCUUGGGUGCUCCCCUUUCUCGGGGCGACCGCGGGAUGCGGCGGAGGGGAGCUGAAAUAUUGGCACCUCAUGAAAUGGCACACAACGGAUUGUUUGUUUGGGAUCUCGGGAACAAAGACGGGCAGGGAAGAGGCUGGGGCACCGUCAGGCGCUGCAAUUCCGGUGGCACCGGGCACGGCCUCGCUUUCCUCGUGUUUUUAAGGGACAAGUGACAGCGGGUGUUUUGGGAGAGAAGCAGGGAUGAGGCUGGGGCACCGUCAGGCGCUGCAAUGCCAGUGGCACCGGGCACGGCCUCGCUUUCCUCGUGUUUUUAAGGGACAAGUGACAGUGGGUGUUUUGGGAGAGGGGCAGGGAU